AUUGAACGCUGGCGGCAUGCCUUACACAUGCAAGUCGAACGGCAGCGGGCCCUUCGGGGUGCCGGCGAGUGGCGAACGGGUGAGUAAUGCAUCGGAACGUACCCGGGAGAGGGGGAUAACCGGCCGAAAGGCUGGCUAAUACCGCAUGAACUCGGAAGAGCAAAGCGGGGGACCUUCGGGCCUCGCGCUCUCGGAGCGGCCGAUGUCCGAUUAGGCUAGUUGGUGGGGUAAAGGCCCACCAAGGCGACGAUCGGUAGCGGGUCUGAGAGGACGAUCCGCCAAACUGGGACUGAGACACGGCCCAGACUCCUACGGGAGGCAGCAGUGGGGAAUCUUGGACAAUGGGCGCAAGCCUGAUCCAGCAAUGCCGCGUGGGUGAAGAAGGCCUUCGGGUUGUAAAGCCCUUUCGGCGGGGAAGAAAUCGGUCAGGCGAAUAGUCUGGCCGGAUGACGGUACCCGCAGAAGAAGCACCGGCUAACUACGUG
rnacentral:rRNA from 1 species